UUCUCUUUCACCUGGAGCACCUCUGCUGAGGCUUUUGAAUCCUAUACCAACUCUGGUUCCUUCACAUCAAUCAGAACUAAUCUGGAGAGAUCACAGAGAAACGGUCCAGGAGCCUCCGCAGUUACAUUGCGUCUGCUUCUCUCUCAGAGAACUACAGCUGGCUUUGCUGUUUUACAAACAUUUUCCAAAGAAGGAUCCAGUUCGAUGUAAAACAUAAGGAUAUUGUGAAAAUUCUUAGGUGGUUAUUGAAUCUUAGGGGUUUGGUAAGCAAGACCUAGAACAUCAGCUGCCAGAUCUCCCAACGUACAGGUGGGAUCUGGGAGUAAGGAGGAAAGCAGUUUUGUCCCUGGAGCAUAUGUGGGAACUUUAAGAAGACUCUGUGGAAUUUCCAAGGAGCUGCUGCUUCCUAGAGUAUGAGGAGUCUGCAUCAAAGACCGGAGUCAGCAACCUGGAACCAGAAGGCAGGAGCAAGGACUGGGAUUCUCUUUCAUCUUUUGGACAAACAACAGAGUUCCUUGUACUGCACAUUCACACGCAUAGCAAGCAUUUGGAAACGCACAGUACUCCCCUUGUUAAAACGGAAUCCCACUGGCUAGCUAAUUGAUUCACAAGUCUGCUAACUAAUUCCAUACUAACGGCUUAAAUUAAAAGUUAAUGAAACACAGUCAGGACCCCAUUAUGUUCCACUUGUAACAACUUUCUUUAAAAAAAAAAUAAA